rnacentral:rRNA from 1 species
ACUCCUACGAGAGGCAGCAGUGGGGAAUAUUGCACAAUGGGCGCAAGCCUGAUGCAGCCAUGCCGCGUGUAUGAAGAAGGCCUUCGGGUUGUAAAGUACUUUCAGCAGUGAGGAAGGUGGUAGUGUUAAUAGCACUAUCAUUUGACGUUAGCUGCAGAAGAAGCACCGGCUAACUCCGUGCCAGCAGCCGCGGUAAUACGGAGGGUGCGAGCGUUAAUCGGAAUUACUGGGCGUAAAGCGCAUGCAGGUGGUUUGUUAAGUCAGAUGUGAAAGCCCGGGGCUCAACCUCGGAAUUGCAUUUGAAACUGGCAGACUAGAGUACUGUAGAGGGGGGUAGAAUUUCAGGUGUAGCGGUGAAAUGCGUAGAGAUCUGAAGGAAUACCGGUGGCGAAGGCGGCCCCCUGGACAGAUACUGACACUCAGAUGCGAAAGCGUGGGGAGCAAACAGGAUUAGAUACCCUGGUAGGAUAGCC